UGGUGGAUUGCAGCAGCGUGCAGCAGGAGAUUGUGCCCCUGCUGUACUCCGUCAUCAAAGAGAUCCUCUCCCUGUUGUUCAGCGAGACGUCCCAGCGCAGCGAGAUCCUCAUUUCCCAGCUGGGUGGGGUCGUGCAGCUCUACCAGAGCGUCAGCACUGACAUCUUCACCAUCGCCAAGUGCUCCCAGAAGCUGGAGCAAUACCAGGGCCAGAUGACAGAGCU